ensembl:piRNA 21ur-4101 ncRNA
UUGUUGUGUUGUGACUACAAU